rnacentral:rRNA from 1 species
GGCUCAGGACGAACGCCGGCGGCGCGCUUAACACAUGCAAGUCGAACGGUGAACCGGGCUUCGGCCCGGGGAUCAGUGGCGAACGGGUGCGUAACACGUGGGCAACCUGCCCCUCACUCUGGGAUAACCCCGGGAAACCGGAGCUAAUACCGGAUACUCCGAACGGUCCGCAUGGUCCGAUCGGGAAAGGUCCGCCGGUGAGGGAUGGGCCCGCGGCCUAUCAGCUUGUUGGUGAGGUAACGGCUCACCAAGGCGACGACGGGUAGCUGGUCUGAGAGGACGACCAGCCACACUGGGACUGAGAUACGGCCCAGACUCCUACGGGAGGCAGCAGUGGGGAAUCUUGCGCAAUGGGCGAAAGCCUGACGCAGCGACGCCGCGUGGGGGAUGAAGGCCCUCGGGUUGUAAACCCCUUUCGGCAGGGACGAAGCGGUUCCGUGACGGUACCUGCAGAAGAAGCCUCGGCUAACUACGUGCCAGCAGCCGCGGUAAGACGUAGGAGGCGAGCGUUGUCCGGAUUCAUUGGGCGUAAAGAGCACGCAGGCGGUUCGGCAAGUCGGUUGUGAAAUCCCAGGGCUCAACCCUGGGACUGCGUCCGAAACUGCCGGACUAGAGGUAGGUAGGGGAGAUCGGAAUUCCUGGUGUAGCGGUGAAAUGCGCAGAUAUCAGGAGGAACACCGGUGGCGAAGGCGGAUCUCUGGGCCUUACCUGACGCUCAGGUGCGAACGCUAGGGGAGCGAACAGGAUUAGAUACCCUGGUAGUCCUAGCCGUAAACGUUGGGUGCUAGGUGUGGGCGGACAUCAACCCCGUCCGUGCCGAAGCUAACGCAUUAAGCACCCCGCCUGGGGAGUACGGCCGCAAGGCUAAAACUC